ACCCUGGUCUUUUUCAAAGGCUUGGUUUUCAACUCCAAAACUUUCAACUUUGGUUGGCACCAAACCAUCCUGUGAAGGACAGGAGAUAUGGGAAAAGGCAGAUAUGAGAAAGACCAGAAUGUGGCGUCACGGACUCAGAUAUCAGUAUUUGGGACAUUUCCAAGAGUGGCACAAUGAGGGCUGAAUGAAAUAAGAGUUUAAUCUUCACAACAAUCUGUUCGGUUCUGCCUCCAGAGAACAGGCACUUCACACAUCUGCAUGAACAUGCCCUUCAGGUUGGCUAUAACAAUGCCAGCCAGCACUGACUGUGAGACAGAGAGGGGUGAAUAUUCCUUGUCAGGAAGCAGGAAAUGCCAUAGGAAGUGCUCUUACCCCCUUGGGAGGCUGUGGACAAUGCUGGCGCCGUACUGGGAGUUUAGGUCCAUCCCAUGAGAGACUGCAGAAGCUAUCACUGUCUAUCAGUUCGAAAGAUUGAAAGGUUUUAACCUUUACCUGAAAUAGUCCAACCAACACUGUCAUGGUACAAGCCACCAGGAUUCUCUGGGCCUCUCUUGCCUCUACAUCAACCUCCAUUAACCCUUUAUCUGCCACCGUCUCAUUCACACCUGUGAAGUU